rnacentral:rRNA from 1 species
GAUGAACGCUGGCGGCGUGCCUAAUACAUGCAAGUCGAGCGAACGGGCGAGAAGCUUGCUUUUCUGAUGUUAGCGGCGGACGGGUGAGUAACACGUGGAUAACCUACCUAUAAGACUGGGAUAACUUCGGGAAACCGGAGCUAAUACCGGAUAAUAUUUUGAACCGCAUGGUUCAAAAGUGAAAGACGGUCUUGCUGUCACUUGUAGAUGGAUCCGCGCUGCAUUAGCUAGUUGGUAAGGUAACGGCUUACCAAGGCAACGAUGCAUAGCCGACCUGAGAGGGUGAUCGGCCACACUGGAACUGAGACACGGUCCAGACUCCUACGGGAGGCAGCAGUAGGGAAUCUUCCGCAAUGGGCGAAAGCCUGACGGAGCAACGCCGCGUGAGUGAUGAAGGUCUUCGGAUCGUAAAACUCUGUUAUUAGGGAAGAACAUAUGUGUAAGUAACUGUGCACAUCUUGACGGUACCUAAUCAGAAAGCCACGGCUAACUACGUG